rnacentral:rRNA from 1 species
AGUGAACGCUGGCGGUAGGCCUAACACAUGCAAGUCGAACGGCAGCACAGUAAGAGCUUGCUCUUACGGGUGGCGAGUGGCGGACGGGUGAGGAAUACAUCGGAAUCUACUUUUUCGUGGGGGAUAACAUAGGGAAACUUACGCUAAUACCGCAUACGACCUACGGGUGAAAGCAGGGGAUCUUCGGACCUUGCGCGAUUGAAUGAGCCGAUGUCGGAUUAGCUAGUUGGCGGGGUAAAGGCCCACCAAGGCGACGACCCGUAGCUGGUCUGAGAGGAUGAUCAGCCACACUGGAACUGAGACACGGUCCAGACUCCUACGGGAGGCAGCAGUGGGGAAUAUUGGACAAUGGGCGCAAGCCUGAUCCAGCCAUACCGCGUGGGUGAAGAAGGCCUUCGGGUUGUAAAGCCCUUUUGUUGGGAAAGAAAAGCAGCAGGUUAAUACCCCGCUGUUCUGACGGUACCCAAAGAAUAAGCACCGGCUAACUUCGUG